CCGCACACCCCGAGUAACCCCUUCCCAAGGAUUUUCGCAUAAAUCACUCUUUGUUCCCGCGCACGGCUGCGGCGGGAUUAAAUCAAGAAUUAAUAUUUUCAACUACGCAAGAGCCCGGUGGCACAGGACGGGGCUGCGCUCCGCGGGGUCAGCGAGCCCCGCGCAGAUCAGGCGAAGAAAUCGCUGGCUCCUCUGGCCAUGAAAAAAACACCGUGUAAAUUGCCAUUUCAGAUUUUUCAAAAAACAUGUUCAGCUCUAAGAAUUCUUCCGAAUUCGUUACACUCCGCCGCGCGAGGCUGCGCCUUGAUGGCCCCGGCGAAGUGACUCAUGUUCCACUGGGUUUUAUUCCUGGGAAGACUUGUGCUGAACCAGAGGAAAGAGCAGAACCUUUGGGGAAGGAAUGGCACGGUUUGGAAAGCAUCAGACACACUCACUGCUCCCUGUCAGAAAAUGAAAGCUCUGGUUUACAUCUCAUGUGAGAAAAUGGCCUUAAAAAUAAAAUAUUGCUUUGAUAACUGG
rnacentral:lncRNA from 1 species